GGGGGGGGGGGGGGGGGGGCGGGGGGGGGGGGGGGGGGGCGGGGGGGCCCGGCGUUUGUGGGGGGGGCGGGGGGCGAACGGGUGGGUACCACGUGAGUAACCGGCCAGUGAGUUUGGGAUAACUUCAGGAAACUGGGGCUCAUACCGGAUAGGAGCUCCUGCUGCAGGGGGGGGGUUGGACAGUUUCGGCGGGUGGGGAUGUACUCGCGGCUUAUCAGCGUGUUGGUGGGGUAGUGGCUUACCAAGGCUUUGACGGGUAGCCGGCCUGAGAGGGUGACCGGCCACAUUGGGACUGAGAUACGGCCCAGACUCCUACGGGAGGCAGCAGUGGGGAAUAUUGAACAAUGGGCGGAAGCCUGAUGCAGCAACGCCGCGUGCGGGAUGACGGCCUUCGGGUUGUAAACCGCUUUCGCCUGUGACGAAGCGUGAGUGACGGUAAUGGGUAAAGAAGCACCGGCUAACUACGUG
rnacentral:rRNA from 1 species